rnacentral:rRNA from 1 species
GAUGAACGCUGGCGGCGUGCCUAAUACAUGCAAGUCGAGCGAACAGACGAGGAGCUUGCUCCUCUGACGUUAGCGGCGGACGGGUGAGUAACACGUGGAUAACCUACCUAUAAGACUGGGAUAACUUCGGGAAACCGGAGCUAAUACCGGAUAAUAUAUUGAACCGCAUGGUUCAAUAGUGAAAGACGGUUUUGCUGUCACUUAUAGAUGGAUCCGCGCCGCAUUAGCUAGUUGGUAAGGUAACGGCUUACCAAGGCAACGAUGCGUAGCCGACCUGAGAGGGUGAUCGGCCACACUGGAACUGAGACACGGUCCAGACGCCUACGAGAGGCAGCAGUAGGGAAUCUGCCGCAAUGGGCGAAAGCCUGACGGAGCAACGCCGCGUGAGUGAUGAAGGUCUUCGGAUCGUAAAACUCUGUUAUUAGGGAAGAACAAAUGUGUAAGUAACUAUGCACGUCUUGACGGUACCUAAUCAGAAAGCCACGGCUAACUACGUG